rnacentral:tRNA from 1 species
UGGAUCACCUCCUAACAGGGAGACAACAAAAUGUUUAAUAUUAUUAUUUUGUCACCUUAGGUCGAUCGGUAUCUCACAUUUUUAAUUUAUUAAGAAUUUCAUUUCCUAAGUUUUUCUAGGUCACACCCAUUAUUUUCCUGGGCCAUUAGCUCAGGUGGUUAGAGCGCACCCCUGAUAAGGGUGAGGUCCCUGGUUCAAGUCCAGGAUGGCCCAUAUCUCUAUGUUGGGGGUAUAGCUCAGUUGGUAGAGCGCCUGCUUUGCAAGCAGGAUGUCAGCGGUUCGAGUCCGCUUACCUCCACUGAUUACCACCUCUUCCAUAAUUAUAUAGAAGGGAAAAUUUUUAGGUUGUGAUCAAAUUCUGAACGAAUCUAGCUUCCUAAUGAAAAUAUUAAGAUGCUGGACUCAUUGAAUUAAUUCAUUGUUUUCAGAGAACCUUGACAACUGCAUAGAUUAUUUUUAAAGACAAUAAGCAUCUUUAAUGAUGCAGAUUUAUUAUUGGUGCAAAUGCAUUAAUAACAAUUCUAUUAAGCUGAUGCUUCAAUUUUGAAGUUAUUGGUCAAGCUACAAAGGGCACACGGAGGAUACCUAGGCACACAGAGGCGAUGAAGG